UUCUGGGCUUCAUGAAUCCCACCUGCAAGAAGAUGAAUCCACUGUGGUUCUUCCUCUUUCUGGUGUCAGCUCCCAGAGGUGUCCUGUCCCAGGUGCAGCUGCAGGAGUCGGGACCCAGCCUGGUGAAGCCCUCACAGACCCUCUCCCUCACCUGCACUGUCUCUGGAUUCUCUUUAACCAGCUAUGCUGUAGCCUGGGUCCGACAGCCUCCAGGAAAGGGGCUGGAGUGGGUUGGGGGAAUAUGUGGUGGUGGAGGCGCAUAUUAUAACCCAACUCUUAAGUCCCGGCUCCGCAUCACCACGGACACCUCCAAGAGCCAAGUCUACUUAUCGCUGAGCAGCCUGACAACUGAGGACACAGCCGUGUAUUACUGUGCGAGAGACACAGUGAGGGGAAGUCAGUGUGAGCCCAGACACAAACCUCCCUGCACGGAGGCCCGUUACCACCAGGGGUCGCACAGGACCCAAGAAGUGCAGGGCUGAGGCCUGCAGCAGGUGUAUAUAUGGGCUGGGAGGGGGUUCUUGUUAGAACCUGUGCUUUCCCCUUCCUGCUCAGGACCUCCACCAGACACCCUCUUCUGUAUCCUACUAUUUCAUUGUUGUGGAUUAUGUUGUGUCUAGAAAAUUUGUGUGC